AUGUUUGUAUUUUGCACUUGCCCGGAGGUGUUUCACGGGAAGUGAGCAUUUUUUAAAACAAAAAUAGAAUUUAGAAAAAAAAGAAGGCAGACACGAUGGAUUUCUAGUGUUGUACAUGCUGUAGAAAGCACUUCAAAAUUUGCUUUGUACCAGGGGCUGCAACCAGAAGCUACAUGACUUCUGGAAUCUGUUCCUUACACAAUAAAUUCCUGGGCCAGUCGGUAAACAGCAAGGAGCUACAAGAAGUCACCCAUAGGCAAAAGCCGAGUGAGUCCAGGCCAAGCUCCACUUUGCCCUAUUUUUGGAAUUCAGGGGGAAACCUCUUGGGAACAGGCCCAUUGCACCCCUGUGCCUCCUCUUGACGCCUUACAGUUGGUGGAGUUUGACACAUGGAAAAUUGUGAAAGUUAAAACACGGAGCAAAAAUGAAGCCUGAACAUAGAGUUAAUAGAGGCAAGGGGCUACAGGGAAUUUAGAUCCUAAUCAAGCAGGUCUUAUGUACUUAGCGCUUCCCUGGAAGCCCAGGAUAACAUUAUGACUACAAAGAAAAAAUGUUUUCCUGCUUGGAAGUUGCCAGAACUUGUCUAAUACAAAUGCUGGGAUUUCUUGCCUGUGGGCUGUCGCGUACGGCUACCCAGGCCCCCUCGUGAAGCCUCCUCCUGGGAGCUCGGCGCCCUCAGGUGCUCCCUGAGAUGCCAGCACCUGAACAACCUGCUCCAGGGAGGCUUUAGCUCCAAGAAGGUUCUGGAAAGCUCCAGGAAGGUUAGCUGGCAUGCACAAAAGCCAGAGACGAAUCUCCAGCCUGCCUGGAAAUGCUGUGGGCUCACAGCGAUGGGCUGAGGUCUUGUGUCCAAAAUUGCUCUUGCAUCUCCCUGGGGAGCCUGGGUGGGGAGGAACAACAAGGUCCUGUGGCCAUGCCCUCGCCCCACGCUCACCCAACCUGCCUGUGCCCACUGGGCCCAUCUUAGGGCUGCACUGGCCCCUAGUGGCCAAGCACGGGCUCUACCCCUCUGCGCCUGCCUGGCUCCCUGUGCAGGUGCCCACCACACUGUCCCUGAGCAGAGCAGGGACCAGCCUGAGCCCCGGGCUCCGUGGCUACCAUGCUGAGAGUGAGCCCUGUGCAUACACACACACUUAGGAUGCUGCUGACCCCGAGCAGUGGCCGGCCACACAGGCGCUGGUCAUACUGCCCACUGCUCCUGGGACUCCUGAGCCCCUCACUCUCUACAGGGUGAGGAUGCCCAGCUCUGCAAGACAUACAGCAAACGGAGUCUCAGAGUGCACAGCGUGAAGAUGGGGCUCCCCUCACACGCCGCACCCCCAUCUAGUCCCGGGGAACGAGAAUGAAGGGCCCGGCUGAGCACACAAGCCCCAGGAGGGCAUGGGAGCUGCGUUUGGGGGCAGUGACUGGGGGCGCUGCUGACUCCAGGCUCAGAUUGAAAGACAGACGGCAACACUGGGGUUGCAGAGCUCAGGAGCCAGUCCUGGCCCCCUGCCUCCUCCCUCAGGUUCCCCUGGUCCCCAGGACAUCGGCUUCCACAUCUGCACAUCUGGGAGACAAAUGCACCAUCAGGGAGGGCAAAUCAUACCUGGGAAGGGCCUGACUCCAGCAGUUUCAGCAGUGGCUGAAAGAUCAUGGCUAUUUCUGCCAUCAUUACAAUGGAAUGUCCUCUCCCUCCAGCCACCUCCACAGCACUCAACACCGGUGUCCAGCCACUCUACGUAGAUGUGUGGGGAACAGAGCACAGGCCUCUUGGCUUGGCUGUGGUCACCAGGAGGGAGCAGGGAGGGACAGUUGCCAAGAGGAUGGGGGAGGGAGCCCGCUACUCAGGAACGCUGGGGCAAGACAUGAGACAAAGGGCUGCCUUCACCCACCAGUAGAAGCCUGACCCUGAGCCCAAAGAAACUGCCCACCUGUGUGCUGACCCCAGGGCCUGAGGACAGGUUCCCAAGUGGACAUCUCAAAGAGAGUCCCACAUUCCAGGGCACGUGGGAACUCUGGCCUUCUGGCAGCUGGAGGGCAGCAGGAAGGGCACAGCUGUCUGAGACCUUCUGUCUGUGGCUUCCCAGAAAGAGGUGCCACCUCUGAGGAGGCACCAGUGCUCAUGGACUCCUGGUUGCCAGUCUUGCCAGGGCAAAAAGGCAAGCGAAGGAAACCCUCUCUUCGUGGGGCACUCUGCCUUGCAGUGUCAGGUGAGAUCCCGGGGGGAAAGCUGGCUUGAGCUCCUCUGGAAUGUGCAGGGAGGACUCCAUCAGGCCCGGCUCUGGCUCCAAGCUGGGCAGCAGGCAAGCCCCAGAGCUCCACCAGCCCCGUUGGCAGAGGAGGGCCCUCACGAGGCAGGAGCCCAUGAUUCAUGCCCUGCUGGAAUUUGUCAAGCAUGCCGAGAUUUGCAGCUCCUCCGAGAUCAGGUCCUGCCCUGAUCAAAAGAAAAGAAGAUGGAUGAGGACACUAUAAAUAGGCCAGAGCCACCCAGCUGGCCUCGGGGAUGCAGGCGGUGUGUGUUCUGAGUUCUCACGAAGCUAAGAAACUCUAAAUCCAGGUUGAUAUCGUGGCAUACCGCCACCUGCUUCAGGGGGACGCAGGGCACAAGGAGGAGCUAUUGGCAGAGCACUCAGUUCCUGCAAGUUCCAACUUCUACUAAAAUUGGUUAAUUGGUUCCUUUGCAUGAUUCAGGGCACACAGGCUUCUCUGUCCACAAAAUUUGCUCACUUGCACACCCAGAGAAAUGGACUUGGCUUGGUUUUUCCAACCUUUUGCCUCUGCGGAAUCAGCAGUGGACGUGUGAGCUGGGGCCUCUGUCCCUGUCAUGUGAGGAGGUCAGGCAGGACAGGCAGGGAGCACUGGGCAAUGAGUCAGGAGGCCUGGUGGGGAGCUUGGGUGAGUCUGUUUUCCUCUCUGGACCUCAGUCUUCUCCUCUAGUUGAUGUAAUAAAAUCCUACAAACUG
rnacentral:antisense_RNA from 1 species